AUAAGCAGGUUUUGCUCCAGGGUUCUUGGUCUAUGGUCUAACUUUGUGUUCUUCAUUUAUUUUUAAGACAAGCUGACUCACCGGUACUACACCAGAGCCAACUCUUCGAGACUGAUGGAUCAUUUGGAACAAGAGAACCACGAGCUGAAAGAGGAGGUAGCCAGAUUGACUGCCCUGAUGGAGUCAUUCUUGGCCUCUCAAAGCCAGUCUUCUCCAACACCUGCAAC
rnacentral:lncRNA from 1 species